rnacentral:lncRNA from 1 species
GUGGCCGGCGCCUCCCCUUAGCUGCGCGGGGCCUGAGCGCGGGCAAACCCGCGCCCGGAACCACGGCAACCCCGCCCCUCCCCCUCGUUCGCCCCCGCCCCUCUGCGCGGGAGCUCAGCUCCUCCCUCACGGCCCCCGGCGAAGCGGGAGGCGGGAAACGGCCGCCGCCGCCGCCGCCGCCACCCUCCCGAGCCCUCUCCCGGUGCCGUGUCGCCCGGGCGCCGCGCCCCUCUGCGUCCCGCUGACCUGUCAGUCCACCUCACGGCGGGAGCCGGCGGGGGCUGAGCCGGGACUCGUCAGCACCGCUGCCCCUCUCAGGCCCGGGAGCCCGCGUACCUGGCAGUCAGUCUUUCCGCAGCGCCGAGGUGGGUGCCGGAGAGAGACGCCGGGACCGGGACUGGCGGGCCGGCUGGCGGGCAGAGGGAGCGUGACCGUCCAGGAGCAGCCAAGCCCCCGAUUUGAAAUUAACCCGCUCCCGGCGCGAGCCGAUACCGCGGGCGGGGAGGGCCGCUCCCCUCCCCCACGCCCGCUCGCCCCGGCCCCGGCCCCCGAGCGCCAAUCCGAGCCUCCCGACCGUAGCCGCCGGCGAAUCGGUGCAGGCACCGCCCUCCACUCCCGCCUCUACGGCAGAGUUGGGGGAAAAGUUCAGCAACUUUUUUUUCCUUUUUUUUUUUUUUUGCAUACACCCCCUCCCCUUGCUCAAAGUUGGGGAAUAAAAUUUGGCCCGUCCGGGGCUCGCGGGCUGGGCCGCAGGCGCCCUGCGAUUCCCCGCUUGGGGCUAUCUCACCCCUGCCCAGCCCCAGGCCGGCUCACCUGCCCUCGGACUCCAGCCGGACCUCUCCCCCUUGCACCCCUGGCAUGCAUGAUUGUGCUGCCCACCGUCUGCCCCGUGCCUCGCAGAAACUGGCGCGAGGAGGGAGAAGCUUGGCUACUGGUGCCUAAGCUCCGUGGGCUCUGGGCCUUGGCCCAGCGGUGAGAACUCAGGUGUAGGAGGAAGAGGAGGAAGGCGGAAAACCCUCCAACCCUGUCCUCGCCGUCUUUCCUCAGGGUCUCCCACCCACUCCUCCCUUUCUCUUCCCUGUUGUCUUUCCCUCUUUUUCCGGUCUCCGAGCCUCAGGCAGCUUUAGCCUGGUUCCCUGUAGAGCCCUAGCAGGGUCGGGGAGACACUUCGAUCCUUCGUCCUCACUUUGCAGAACGGGACACCGAGGCCCGGGGCGGCGGCGCUGCCUCGGCUGCACCUGGAUCAUUUGCGCCCGCGUUGGCUCCCUUUGCUCUCCUCUGCCUUAGACUUUUCUGCGGACUGGUGCUGAGUGUUGCCCAACCGCGCCGAGAUCUGGGCGCCGGUCUCUCGAUCUGGACUCGGUUUGGCUCGUCCUCCUCUGUAAUCGCGUGUCUUUAGGCUCCAGCAGGGCCCGGGGCCACACUUCCCCACUCCCACCGCUAACUUGGGGAUCAGUGACUCUCCCAUUGCUGACUAGCAGGGCGAGGCAUUUUUAUUUUCUGCGAAACGCGAUGAGGGCGGGGAUGCUAUGAUAUUGAGGCUGGGGUCGCAGCGCAGCAGCUGCCGGCCAUAGGGCCAGGGGUCUCCGUGGCGAGCGAAGGCUCAUCUCCCCGCGGAACGCGACCGCAGGCUUGCGGUGUGGCCGCCCUGGAAUGUUGGCGCCGUCGUGUCCCUGUCCCCCUUUCGUCGCCAGCUGAGGUGCAGGUCUUGCUCAAGAAGGCGCUUCGACCUGAAAGCAGGCCUUUCAGGUACUGUGCAGAGGGGCCACUGCCUGUGGCUCGCAGAUUUGAAAUAAAGCAGAGGUCACUAUAUAGGGUUCCACCGUUGCUAGCACUGAGCGGCUGGUUCUUACUAAGCCCAGGUACCCCUUUUUUGGAGCAAGACUGGGUUCUAAAUGUAUCAACAAAAAGUGGGGAGUUGGUGCUUCUGCUUUAGCCACUAGCUGUUGGCCAGAUUGUCAUCUCCCCCAACCCCCUGAAUGGUCAGCGCUCCCAAGAGUGCAUAGAUUCAGCUAUGCCUAAUGUACCCGAAGUUAUUACAGCCCCGGAGUCCUGUGGGCCAUAAAUCCCUUUUAAAGUUCUUUAGAAGCAGUCUGCCUCAUGCACCUGUGUUCAGAGAUAGUGACUAAUUCGUUCAAAUCUGUGAUCUACAGGGCCAUUCAUGCUGCAGAUGUCUGAGUGACAGUUACCUGUAAGGCACAUCAUGCAGGGAGCAGCCACCUCUGGUGACACUUGACAGAUGGCCUCUCAUUUCAUACUCAGCACAGGUGUGAAAGCAUGGGUUAUGACUCUGAGAGGGAAGCAGCAUUUUAAAGUGACAAACCCAAGGUCUAACUGUAAGGGACAGGACUGGGAUUUGAAGCCAAGGGUGUUUAACGUCUCAGGGCUUUCCACUGAAAGCUGUGUUCACCACUGUGCGGCGUGCUCAUCCUUACUUGCUUCAUAGGAUAGUUGUGUCCCAUUUUAUAGAGAAGAAAACUGAGGCACAAAAGGGUUAAACUGAUGGCCAAGUUAGCUACAGAGCCAGAAUUAGAAUCCAGGUCUACCUGCUCCAAGUUCAUACAUCCCAUUCCACUGCCUCUGAAAGUUCCUGUGAGAGCAAUGUUAGUGCCAACUCAGGCUAGCCCUUAACCAUUUCAACCCCUCCCUAAACACACAAAAAAACAGGAAGGUGAGAGUGUAAUUCUUGCUUACUGAUAGUUGUCAUGUCUUACUGAAGGAAGUGAAAUUAUAGUCAAACUCAUUGAAUAUGUUGAAAAGUGGUUUUAUUAAGAGUGAAGUGAUACAGUUUUGAAGUCUUAACAACACUUUCAUGUAAUGAAAGGUAAUAAAGAAAGAAAGGUUCUACUCAUCACUGUGUAGAGUAUCAAUUUGAAAUGCAGCAUGAGUGUAAAGGAGGGAAAAGACUACUGAAAACUUUUAUGUUUACUGCAUAACCAAGAAGGAAGGAUCAGGGCAUAAGCUUGAAACUUUUUUUUUUUUUUAAUUUUCCCAUCAAAUAUGUUUUCCACUUAUUAGUUACAUAAUCCAAGGGAAUAUUUGUGUAUUUGUUUCUGGUCUUUUGUUCAUCAUGUUGUGUAAUCUGUGUCUCACUGAAGUUAGACCAGUUUUUCUACUCUGUGCUGUCGCCCUUCUGGAUUGCACAACUUGGAGGGCUGAUACGUUGUGUAACACGUUCAGCAUUAAAUAAAGUAUUAUGAAAAAAGAUAUCAAAGGUAAGGAGGAAAGAUAGGCAUCACCGGGGCGCCUACAUUCAAAGGUAACAUUUGGGAUUUCUGAAGCGUGUCCCUUUUCAUCAUCACCAAAAAGACAGGCAAGACCUUCCCCUGCUGAGCAGGGAAGGAUGAAGGGCUAAGGAAGGAGUUCUAGCUAAUGGGUUUCUUGACCUUUUCUGUCUGUCUUGCUGCCCCACCUCCUAGGUGCUUAUAUCACCAACUCUGCUUCCUGACCUAGUGGGGCAAUUUGGGUUUGUGCUUUAUCUGCAGUACGUGUUGGCAUAGAUACCACGAAACAGCUCUCUGGAGCUUAAAACUGCACAAAUCCCUAUGUGCUGGGUUGGAUUGUGGCUGCUCACAGCUAGAUCUCAGCUAUUCCUGGUCCUUGUACUAAGCCUACAAAUGAAUCAUGCUGGGUCUAGUCUGGGCAGGGUUAAAGAGGAUGGAUACAAGCAAGGGACCCAGGAAGUGGGCAUGCCUGGAGCUGGCUUGUGCUGACUGUGGAGCUAGACUAGGUCAGAGUAAGUCCCAGGCAGCAGCAGGGCUGUGUGUGAAAUCCCUUCAGACUCUCCUGUGACCUCCUGUGGGAAAUUCCUGAUAGGCCCUGAUGUAUCCUGAUGAGCCCCAUAUAGACAUUUGCAGCCCUGGACUCAGCUGCAGCAGCAACAGUUGCUGCCAUUUAUUGAGCAAUUACUGCUUCUAAUUUCUUUUUUUGUUGUUUUUUUUUGAGACAGAGUCUUGUUCUGUCACCCAGGCUGGAGUGCAGUGGUGUGAUCUCGGCUCACUGCAACCUCUGCCUCCUGGGUUCAAGCAAUUCUCCUGCCUCAGUCUCUCAAGUAACUGGGACUACAGGUGCGCGCCACCACGCCCAGCUAAUUUUUGUAUUUUUAGUAGAGAUGGGGUUUCACCAUAUUGGCCAGGCUGGUCGCGAACUCCUGACCUCAUGAUCUGGCCACCUCAGCCUCCCAAAGUGCUAGGAUUACAGGCAUGAGCCACUGCGCCCAGCCAGCUUCUAAAUUUUAAAAAUACUUUGGGGAUAAUAGAACACAAAUUUUUCUGAGAGUCCUCAUGCGAAGCUGGAGUCUGAGUUCUGUUCUCAUUUUAUUAUUGCGCAUGGAAUCUUAAAAUUGUCAUAAUGUCAUGUAAUCCAGUGCUUAUCAGUGGGUUGGAAAAACCUGCUUUUCCAGGUUCUAGGACAUUAAAGAAGUAUAUGUAGAGAUUCCUAGGAGUAGGGUUCAGGAAUUUAUUACCUAAAAUAUAGUCCUACUGGAGCCAGGCGCUGUGGCUCAUGCUUAUAAUCCCAGCCCUUUGGGAGGCCAAGGCGGGUGGAUCACUUGAGGUCAAGAGUUUGAGACCAGCCUGGCCACAUGGUGAAACACCGUCUGUACUAAAAAUACAAAAAUUAGCUGGGCGUGCUGGUGGGGCCUGUAAUUCCGGCUACUUGGGAGGCUGAGGCAGGAGAAUUGCUUGAACCCGGGUGGUGGAGGUUGCAGUGAGCCAAGAUUGCACCACUGCACUCCAGCAUGGGCCAUUAAGCAAGACUCUGUCUUAAAAAAAAAAAAAAAACAAAAGUCCCAUUCAAUGCAGGAAUCCUAUAACCUUCCUGAUCAAUCAAUGAUUGCUGCUCUUUGCUUAAAGCUGGUAGUGAAAGGUAACUGUGCUGAUCCCCUCCAGGCAGAUUUAUUCACAUCCUGUUCUUGAUCAUACCCCUAUAUAGGCACCUCUGUUAUGGAUGCUUCCCACCUACACCACUGUGCGCUCCUUAAGGCAGGGAGAGGGACUUCUUCAUCUCUUGGUCUUUCCAGUGCCCAGCAAAGUGCCGGACCCAGAGCAGGGGCUUGAUAGGUGUUGGUUGAUGGAGUAAAAUUCUACUCUGGAAUGUUAUCCCACCAACCUCAGAUGAUACCUUGUCUUUUAAUCUCUUUAUCUUCAGUACUGAGUUCAAUGCCUGGCACACACUUGGUGUUCCAUAAUGCUAGGAAAAUGAGCUCGUAAUUACCACUCCCUUUUAAAUGUCAGGUUUUUUACUUUAGCUAGGUUCUUCGGUUUUAUUUAUUUACUCACUGAAAAAUAGUAUACUGAGUGCUAUACUAUGCCCCUAAACCCUGAAUUAGGUGCUAGGUAUACACAGUGAGUGAAAGAGAUAAAGUCCUUGCCCUUUUGGAGUUUAUAUUCAAGCAGUAGAAAGUGUCUGGUGCAAAGUGUUAGCUUUUAUUGUAUUUUUUUUUUCCUGUGUGAGAUUUCUCGCCAUUCCUCAAUUCAACAAAUAUGCCUUUUUUAUUUUUUUUUUAAAAAUAAAUGUUCUAUCUCUAUAGUACUUUUUAAAAGUUUCUGUAGAUAUUUUUCUUCCCUAGGAACCCAAGUUUUCUUCUCUUCUCCUUUCAUCCCAUAUGUAUGGAUCACUUGCUCCAAGCCUAGGGACUCAGCUAGGCACCAGCUACAGGACAUGUUGGCUGCCCUUGGGAUCCCAGCAACAAAGCCAACUCUUCACUUACUCCCACUCCCCCUCUCUCUUUCUCCCUCUUCUGCAGAGAUGUGGACUGCAUCUGGACAAAUUGUCUGCUUCUCUGAGUUCUUCAAGAUUGUGGCCUCUUAGUCACGGGAGGAUGCCCUGUUUCUCUUGGAAUGAUACUGAAGUUGGCAUAAGUGGGUUCCUUACACCUCAGUGGCCCUCAGUCAUUGUGAAUUCAGGCACUGAGAAGACAGAGCAGGCUCUUGAUCAGCUGUGUCAGGCUGGGGGCAUCCCCCAUAUAAGGUUCUAAACAGUCACCAAACAUUCUAAUAAUCCACUCCUCCCUGAAAUCUGAAAUCUGCCUGAUUUCUUCCAACUUCUUGGCACUAAUGAAUACCCCUUAAAGUUACGGUUUUCAGGAUAUGAUUUGACCUAAUAUGCUUCAUGAUAUCCAGAUAUAUUAUGGUAGAGUUUUAUUGCUCAUUGAACUGCUUUAUUGUACAAUACAGAGACAGAAUAGGACCUACACAGAUUAAUUUUGUUGACAAAACAACUUAUUUUCCAAAAGAAUUAGAUAGCUCUCCUCUAAGCCUUAAUCAAAAAUGUUUAGACUGGGUGUAGUGGCUCACGCCUGUAAUCCCAGCACUUUGGGAAGCAGAGGUGGGCAGAUCACGAGGUCAGGAGAUUGAGACCAUCCUGGCUAACACGGUGAAACCCCGUCUCCACUAAAAACACAAAAAAUUAGCAGGGCGUGGUGGUGGGUGCCUGUAGUCCCAGCUACUUGGGAGGCUGAGGCAGGAGAAUGGUGUGAACCUGGGAGGCAGAGGUUGCAGUGAGCCAAGAUUGUGCCACUGCACUCCAGCCUGGGCGACAGAGUGAGACUCCAUCUCAAAAAAAAAAAAAAAAAGCUUAAUAAAAGCUCACAACAGUUAUCAAUAUGGAAAUUGACUAGAGUAUAUUAAUCCACGUGUGGUUAUAGUUAUUAAUGAAUUGCAUUUGAGUUUGCCCGCAAAAUAUAUAGUUCUAUAUACUCUUUUACGAUAGUGCUAACAUGGAACAUAGUCCAUGAUUGAUUAUAUGCUCGGCCAUAAAGCGAGUCUCCAUAAAUUAAAAAAAAAAAAAUCAAAACCAUACCAGCCAUACUCUCAGCCACAGCAGAAUAAAAAUAAAAAUCAAUACCAAGAUGAUCUUUCAGAAACCACACAAUAACAUGGAAAUUAAACGACUUAGUCCUGAAUGAGUUUUGGGUAAACAACGAAAUUAUGGCAGAAAUUUAAAAAUCUCUUGGAAAUACAUGAAAACAGAGAUACAACAUACCAAAAUCUCUGGGUUGCAGCAAAAGCACUGUUAAGAAGAAAGGUUACAGCACUGAGUGCCUACCUCAAAAAGUUAGAAAGAUCUCAAAUUAAUGAUCUAAUGUCACACCUAGAAGAACCAGAAAAAUAAGAACAAAUGAAUCUCAAAGUUAGCAGAAGAAGAGAAAUAAUUAAAAUCAAAGUGGAACUGAAUGAAAUUGAGGCCCCAAAUCCAUACAAAGAAUUAACAAAAACCAAGUUGGUUAUUUGAAAGGAUAAACAAGAUCAGUAGACCACUAGCUAGAUUAACAAAGAAAGAAGAUCCAAAUAAGCACAAUCAGAAACAACAAAGGUGACGCUAUGCCUGAUCUCACAUAAAUACAAAAGAUCCUCAGAGACUACUGUGAAUAUACCUCUAUGCACACAAACUAGAAAAUCUACAGGAAAUGGAUAAAUUCCUGGAAAUACACAGUCUCCCAAGGUUGAAUCAGGAAGGAAUUGAAACACUGACCAGAUCAAUAUUUAGUUCCAAAAUUGAAUUAGUAAUAAAAAAUCCUACCAAUCAUAAAAAUCCUGGACCAGAUGGAUUCACAGCCUAAUUCUACCAGACAUACAAAGAAGAGUUGGUACCAGUUCUACUGAAACUAUUCCUAAAAUCAAGGUGGAGGGACUCUUCCCUAACUCAUUCUACAAAGCCAGCAUCACUCUGAUACCAAAACCUGGUAAAGAUACAACAAAAAAAGAGAACUACAGGCAAAUAUCCCUGAUGAACAUAGAUGCAAAAAUUCUCAACAAAAUACUAGCAAACUGAAUUCAACAGCACAGCAAAAAGUUGAUUCACCAUGAACAAGUAGACUUCAUUCCUGGGAUGCAAGAUUGGUUCAACAUAUACAAAUCAAUAAAUGUGACUCACCACAUACGAAGAAUUAAAAGCAAAAGUCAUGUGAUUAUCUCAAUAGACACAGAAAAAGCUUUUGAUAAAUCCAACAUCCCUUCAUGAUAAAAACCAUCAAGAAGCUAGGCCUCGAAGGAACAUACAUAAAAAUAAUAAGAGCCAUCUAUGACAAACCCAUAGCCAACAUCAUGAAAACUGGAAGCAUUCUUCUUGAGAACUGGAACAAGACAAGGAUGCCAUGCCCACUCUCACCACUCCUAUUCAACAUAGUACUAGAAGUGCUCGCCAGAACAAUCAGGCAAGAGAAAGAAAUAAAAGGCAUCUGAAUAGGAAAAUAAUAACUCAAACCAUCUCUUCGUGGACUAUAUGAUUCUAUACCUAGAAAACCCUAAAGACUCUGCCAAAAGGCUCCUGGAACUGUAAACAGUAAAGUUUUAGGAUACAAAAUCAAUGUACAAAAAUCAGUAGCAUUUCUAUAUACCAAUAGCAUUCAAGCUGAGAGCGAAAUAAAGAACUCAAUCCCAUUUACAAUAGACACACACACACACCCCUAGGAAUACAUCUAACCAAGGAGGUGAAAGAAUCCCUAUAAGGAGAACUACAAAACACUGCUCAAGAAAUCAGAGAUGACACAAACAAAUGAAAACAUUCCAUGUUCAUGACUUGGAAGAAUAAGUAUCAUUAAAAUGGCCAUACUGCCCCAAGCAAUCUACAGAUUCAAUGAUAUUCAUAUCAAACUACCAACAUCAUUUUUCACAGAAUUGGAAAAAAAUUCUACAAUUCAUACAGAACCAAUAAAGACCCCAAAUAGCCAAAGCGAUCUUAAGAAAAAAGAACAAAGCCAGAGACAUCACAUUACCCAACUUCAAACUAUGUUAUAAAGCUACAGUAACCCAAACAGCAUGAUACUGGUACAAAAACAUACACAUAGACCAAUAGAACAGAAUAGAGAACCCAGAAGUAAAGCCACACACCUACAGGCAUCUAAUCUUUAACAAAGUUGACAAAAAUAAGCAAUGAGGAAAGGACUCCCUAUUCAAUAAAUGGUGCUGGGAUAGCUGGAUAGCCAUAUGCAGAAGGAUGAAACUGAAUCCCUGCCUUUCAAGAUAUAUAAAAAUUAACUCAAGUUGGAUUAAAGAUUUAAAUGUAAGACCUCAAACUAAGAAUCCUAGAAGAAAACCUAGGGAACACCACUCUGGACAUCAGCCUUAGGAAAGAAUUUAUGACUAAGUCCUCAAAAGCAAUUGCAAUAAAAACAUUGACAAGUGAGACCUAAUUAAACUAAAGAGC